AAUAAGCAAGACCGAUCCGGCGUGGCGCCUGUGCUCCUCCGCCCACGGCGCGCCGCUGCCUUUUCUUCCCCUCCGAUUGAAGAGGAGCCCCUCAUCAUCAUGGCUAUCUUUACUCCUUUUGGGCAAUUAAUUAAUGCGUGGUUAAGCUUAUCCGGAUAGGCAUGCAUGCAUGCCGGCCGGCCGCCAGGCGCCAUGGGUCCCUUUCGAGCUUAUCUGGGGCCAUCAUGCCCUGCCGAUCAUCUGACGGGAGGAUGGAUUGAAUGGAUCGGUCGUCGAUCAUGGUGGCGCGAAGAAAAGGCAAGCUUCAGGACUUGUGUGGCUGAGAGCACUGGAGGUCAUUUCAAUUCAAUUCGUCGGCAGUUAUUAUCUCGUGAUAAUGUACUGUAUUACUCUCGUAGUAUAAUUCGAUCCUCCCGUCG
rnacentral:lncRNA from 1 species